rnacentral:rRNA from 1 species
AGAUUAAACUGUAGAGUUUGAUCCUGGCUCAGAUUGAACGCUAGCGGCAUGCCUUACACAUGCAAGUCGAACGGCAGCGCGGGGGCAACCCUGGUGGCGAGUGGCGAACGGGUGAGUAAUGCAUCGGAACGUGCCCAUCGAUGGGGGAUAACUGCGCGAAAGCGUUGCUAAUACCGCAUACGACCUACGGGUGAAAGCAGGGGACCGCAAGGCCUUGCGUCGAUGGAGCGGCCGAUGCCGGAUUAGCUAGUUGGUGAGGUAAAGGCUCACCAAGGCAACGAUCCGUAGCUGGUCUGAGAGGACGACCAGCCACACUGGGACUGAGACACGGCCCAGACUCCUACGGGAGGCAGCAGUGGGGAAUCUU